CACUGUUUCCCACACUUUACAUAUUUCCCCAAUCUCAUUUGAAGUGAGAGAUUCCUCUAUGUUUUUCUCUUCCUCUUUUGCAGAUGAAAUUUCCUCCAUAACCUCUUGGUUUUGGGAGAUGAUCAUCCACAAUUCUGCAAUGAGAAAGGGGGGGGGGAGAGAGAGGCAGCAUUGGCUCAGUUGUGAUCAUGUGGCAUUCAGCAUCAUGUACUACUUGUAUUGCAAGACAUUGUCAUUUAUCAAGCUAGAUUCCAGCCAACUCUGGAUGUCAUGAAGAGAAAUCCACACACUCAUCACCUGAAAAACAUCAAUUUGAUUUAUCUCCAAACACUGGUUGUUUGCUGUAGCACCAGAGAGAUGUGAUGAGAAGCACAAGGCUGGUUAGUUUACUGAAGAUUCAGGAUGUCUACAGGAAAGAAAGCUAUUUUUUGCAAACAAUGUAAAGUUAGCAAUGCAGACUCUUUUGGCAAUAGACAGGAGAGGCUUUGACCUCUACAGGGUUAAAUUGUUGAAAACACUUUUACCAUAAAAUUGAUAUUAAAUAUGUGUGGGAUUCGUAUUAAGCAUACCUUCGGGGAUACAGAAAAAAGAGGCAUAGAUGUUUUGGAGGAAGAUAAUUUGUUCGCCAAUUUUUACUUCAGUUUGGCUCUCCCUAAAAGAUUUUUAGGAUUUGUCUGGUCUCUGAUAUUAUAUUAGACUUUACCUUUUAAUGAAAAGAAGAAAAGAUUAAGCAUCAAAGAAGGCUCACUGGUAAGAAAUUUUAAAUAAAAUGAAAUCUAUGUAAAUAGGGAAGGGCGGAGAGGGUGAAGGGUGCACAGGUAAUGGGAAAAAAAUAAGAACUAAGAUAUAUCAUGUACAGGUACAAACACCCAAUGAUAAAUGUAAAUGAAUUGUAUACCUAAAAUGUACCAAUAAAAGAACUAAAAGAAUUUAAA
rnacentral:lncRNA from 1 species